rnacentral:rRNA from 1 species
CCUACGGGUGGCUGCAGUCGAGAAUAUUCCUCAAUGGGCGAAAGCCUGAAGGAGCGACGCCGCGUGCAUGAUGAAACCCCUCGGGGUGUAAAGUGCUUUUAUCAGGGAAGAAACCAUGACGGUACCUGAUGAAUAAGGGGCUGCUAAUCUCGUGCCAGCAGCAGCGGUAAUACGAGAGCCCCAAGCGUUAUCCGGAUUUAUUGGGUGUAAAGCGUGCGUAGGUGGUUUGGUGUAUCUUUUGUUAAAUACUGGGGCUCAACCUCAGAACUGCGAAGGACAUAGCCAGACUAGAGGCUAGAAGAGGCAAGUGGAAUUGUUGGUGUAGGGGUUAAAUCCGUUAAUAUCAACAGGAACGCCAAAAGCGAAGGCAGCUUGCUGGGAUAGACCUGACACUAAGGCACGAAAGCGUGGGGAGCGAAUGGGCUUAGAUACCCUGGUAGUC